rnacentral:sRNA from 1 species
GCCAGGCAUGGUGGUGCAUGCCUCUAAUCCUAGCUACUUGGGUGGCUGAGGCAGGAGGAUCACAAAUUAUUAGCCAGUCUUGAGAACUUAGUGAGACCCUGUAUCAA